UAGUUGAAGUCCACAAAAUGGGAUAUCCUU
rnacentral:piRNA from 1 species